UCGAGAAUAAGCCAGUCAUUGAAGAGAAGGCUCCACCUGAAAGACCAAGAGUGGCUUUCCAGACUCCCGUCCCUGAGCCAGCUGUCACUGGAAGUGGAUAUGCUGUAGCCUACAAUCCAGCACAAGAGGAUUUCCACCGAGGAAUAUUGAGCACACUGGGAGAAAUAGUUGCCCCCAGGAUUGCAGCUGUUCCUCCACCUCAACCACCAGUCCUGGUAGACCAUUAUCGAACACCUUAUGAUGAUGCCUACUAUUACUAUGGUGCUCGGAACCCACUGGAUCCAAACCUAGCCUACUAUCCUGUAGGCACAAUAGGCGGGCAGCCA